rnacentral:lncRNA from 1 species
CGCGACCAAAUGAUACGUUGUUACCAAGGAUGACAAUGUUUAUCGAGCAUAGGUCGUUGUGUGCCAUAUGGGUUGGUUGUCCUCAUAACCAAAGAGUGUGGAGACACUGGUAUGGCAUACAGGUGAGAUGUAAUGGUACAUCUGCACUGAACGUGACCAACUCCGGAGCUAUUUCUGCUGUCAAGAUUUGCUCCGAUGGGAUAUGGGUAUAAAUGU